UACGGGGGGAGCAAGCGUUGUUCGGAUUUACUGGGCGUAAAGGGCGCGUAGGCGGUCAGCACAAGUCAGUUGUGAAAUCUCCGGGCUUAACUCGGAAAGGUCAACUGAUACUGUGCGACUAGAGUGCAGAAGGGGCAACUGGAAUUCUCGGUGUAGAGGUGAAAUUCGUAGAUAUUCGGAAGAACACCAGUGGCGAAGGCGGCUCACUGGACUGGUAUUGACGCUGAGGUGCGAAAGCGUGGGGAGCAAACAGG
rnacentral:rRNA from 1 species